AGCUUUAUAGUCAAAAUAUGAUUUUAAAUUGCAAGUUUAAAGUUGGUCUAUGUGCCUAAGGCUU
rnacentral:tRNA from 1 species